AGCAGCCGCGGUAAUUCCAGCUCCAAUAGCGUAUAUUAAAGUUGUUGCAGUUAAAAAGCUCGUAGUUGAAUUUCGGGAUCAAUACGUCGGUCAUGCUUUUUGGUACGAACGGGCGUCAUUGGUUUCUCCUUUCUGACGAACCAUGAUGUCAUUAAUUUGGUGUUAUGGGGAGUUGGGACUGUUACUUUGAAAAAAUAAGAGUGUUUAAAGCAGGCUCACGCUUGAAUACAUUAGUAUGGAAUAAUGAAAUAGGACGUUUGAUUCUAUUUUGUUGGUUUCUAGGAUCGACGUAAUGAUUAAUAGGGAUAGUUGGGGGCAUUAGUAUUCAAUUGUCAGAGGUGAAAUUCUUGGAUUUAUUGAAGACUAACUACUGCGAAAGCAUUUGCCAAGGAUGUUUUCAUUAAUCAAGAACGAAAGUUAGGGGAUCGAAGACGAUCAGAUACCGUCGUAGUCUUAACCAUAAACUAUGCCGACUAGGGAUCGGAUGAUGUUAAUUUUUUAAUGACUCAUUCGGCGCCUUACG
rnacentral:rRNA from 1 species